rnacentral:ncRNA from 1 species
GAGAGUCUGAUGCAUUGAAAGGUGCAUGUCCGGUUCGGUGAGGAGAAGCAAGGCAAGGAAAUAAUCUGACUACGCCCUACCUCUUACUCAAC